CUACGGGGUGCUGCAGUGGGGAAUAUUGCGCAAUGGGCAAGAGCCUGACGCAGCAACGCCGUGUGAGGGAUGAAGGCUUUCGGGUCGUAAACCUCUGUCAGAAGGGAAGAACGGGUAUUGGUCUAAUAGGCCUUUAUUUUGACGGUACCUUCAGAGGAAGCACCGGCUAACUCCGUGCCAGCAGCCGCGGUAAUACGGAGGGUGCAAGCGUUAUUCGGAAUUACUGGGCGUAAAGCGCACGUAGGCCGCUUUGUAAGUCAGGGGUGAAAUCCCACGGCUCAACCGUGGAACUGCCUUUGAAACUGCAGAGCUUGAAUCCUGGAGAGGGUGGCGGAAUUCCUGGUGUAGGAGUGAAAUCCGUAGAUAUCAGGAGGAACACCGGUGGCGAAGGCGGCCACCUGGACAGGUAUUGACGCUGAGGUGCGAAAGUGUGGGGAGCAAACAGGAUUAGAUACCCCGGUAGUC
rnacentral:rRNA from 1 species